UACAGAGACUGCAAGCGUUAUUCGGAUUCACUGGGCGUAAAGGGUGCGCAGGCGGCCGUGUGUGUGAGGCGUGAAAGCCCGGGGCUUAACCCCGGAAUUGCACCUCAAACUACAUGGCUAGAGCAUUGGAGAGGGUAGCAGAAUUCAUGGUGUAGCAGUGAAAUGCGUAGAUAUCAUGAGGAAUACCAGAGGCGAAGGCGGCUACCUGGACAAUUGCUGGCGCUCAGGCACGAAAGCGUGGGGAGCAAAAGGG
rnacentral:rRNA from 1 species